rnacentral:rRNA from 1 species
GAUGAACGCUGGCGGCGUGCCUAAUACAUGCAAGUCGAGCGAACAGACCAGGAGCUUGCUCCUCUGACGUUAGCGGCGGACGGGUGAGUAACACGUGGAUAACCUACCUAUAAGACUGGGAUAACUUCGGGAAACCGGAGCUAAUACCGGAUAAUAUAUUGAACCGCAUGGUUCAAUAGUGAAAGGCGGUUUUGCUGUCACUUAUAGAUGGAUCCGCGCCGCAUUAGCUAGUUGGUAAGGUAACGGCUUACCAAGGCAACGAUGCGUAGCCGACCUGAGAGGGUGAUCGGCCACACUGGAACUGAGACACGGUCCAGACUCCUACGGGAGGCAGCAGUAGGGAAUCUUCCGCAAUGGGCGAAAGCCUGACGGAGCAACGCCGCGUGAGUGAUGAAGGUCUUCGGAUCGUAAAACUCUGUUAUUAGGGAAGAACAAAUGUGUAAGUAACUAUGCACGUCUUGACGGUACCUAAUCAGAAAGCCACGGCUAACUACGUG